ACGGCUGCUCAGUAACACGUAGUCAACUUACCCUAUGGACGAGGAUAAUCUCGGGAAACUGAGCAUAAUACUCGAUAGAUCAUAAUGCCUGGAAUGGUUUAUGGUUGAAAUGAUUCAUCGCCAUAGGAUGGGACUGCGGCCUAUCAGCUUGUUGGUGAGGUAAUGGCCCACCAAGGCGAUUACAGGUACGGGCUCUGAGAGGAGAAGCCCGGAGAUGGGUACUGAGACAAGGACCCAGGCCCUAUGGGGCGCAGCAGGCGAGAAAACUUUGCAAUGUGCGAAAGCACGACAAGGUUAGUCCGAGUGAUUUCUGCUAAAGAAAUCUUUUGCAAGUCAUAAAACCACUAGUGAAUAAGGGGUGGGCAAGUUCUGGUGUCAGCCGCCGCGGUAAAACCAGCACCUCAAGUGGUCAGGAGGAUUAUUGGGCCUAAAGCAUCCGUAGCCGGCUCUGUAAGUUUUCGGUUAAAUCCAUGUGCUCAACGCAUGGGCUGCCGAAAAUACUGCAUAGCUAGGGAGUGGGAGAGGUAGACGGUACUCGGUAGGAAGGGGUAAAAUCCUUUGAUCUAUCGAUGACCACCUGUGGCGAAGGCGGUCUACCAGAACACGUUCGACGGUGAGGGAUGAAAGCUGGGGGAGCAAACCGGAUUAGAUACCCGGGUAGUCCCAGCUGUAAACGAUGCAGACUCGAUGAUGCAUUGGCAUAUAGCCAGUGCAGUGUCGCAGGGAAGCCGUUAAGUCUGCCGCCUGGGAAGUACGUACGCAAGUAUGAAACUUAAAGGAAUUGGCGGGGGAGCAG
rnacentral:rRNA from 1 species